rnacentral:rRNA from 1 species
AUUGAACGCUGGCGGCAUGCCUUACACAUGCAAGUCGAACGGCAGCACGGGAGCAAUCCUGGUGGCGAGUGGCGAACGGGUGAGUAAUAUAUCGGAACGUGCCCAGUCGUGGGGAUAACGUAGCGAAAGCUACGCUAAUACCGCAUACGAUCUAUGGAGGAAAGUGGGGGGACCGCAAGGCCUCACGCUCCCGGAGCGGCCGAUGUCGGAUUAGCUAGUUGGUGGGGUAAAGGCUUACCAAGGCGACGAUCCGUAGCUGGUCUGAGAGGAUGAUCAGCCACACUGGGACUGAGACACGGCCCAGACUCCUACGGGAGGCAGCAGUGGGGAAUAUUGGACAAUGGGGGCAACCCUGAUCCAGCCAUGCCGCGUGGGUGAAGAAGGCC